rnacentral:rRNA from 1 species
AGGACGAACGCUGGCGGCGCGCUUAACGACAUGCAAGUCGAGCGAGAACCGGUCCUUCGGGACCGGGGAAAGCGGCGAACGGGUGAGUAACACGUGGGUAAUCAACCCUCGGUACCGGGAUAGCCCGAGGAAACUCGGAUUAAUACCGGAUGGCCCAACAGCCUUUCGGGGCGGUUGGAAAAGGUAGCUUCGGCCUCCGACCGAGGACGAGCCCGCGGCGGAUUAGCUUGUUGGUGGGGUAACGGCCCACCAAGGCGACGAUCCGUAGCUGGUCUGAGAGGACGAUCAGCCACACUGGGACUGAGACACGGCCCAGACUCCUACGGGAGGCAGCAGUGGGGAAUCUUGCACAAUGGGCGAAAGCCUGAUGCAGCGACGCCGCGUGAGGGAAGAAGGCUUUCGGGUUGUAAACCGUCUUUCAGGAGGGACGAAGCUACUCGGGUUAAUAGCCCAGAGGGUGACGGUACCUCCAGAAGAAGCCCGGCUAACUACGCGCCAGCAGCCGC